rnacentral:rRNA from 1 species
AACGAACGCUGGCGGCUGGCUUAACACAUGCAAGUCGAACGCACUCUUCGGAGUGAGUGGCAGACGGGUGAGUAACGCGUGGGAACCUACCUUGUGGUGCGGAAUAACUCAGGGAAACUUGAGCUAAUACCGCAUGUGCCCUUCGGGGGAAAGAUUUAUCGCCACAGGACGGGCCCGCGUCGGCUUAGCUAGUUGGUGGGGUAAUGGCCUACCAAGGCGACGAUCCGUCGCUGGUCUGAGAGGAUGAUCAGCCACACUGGGACUGAGACACGGCCCAGACGCCUACGGGAUGCGGCAGUGGGGAAGAUUGGACGAUGGGGGCAACCCUGAGCCAGCCAGGCCGCGUGAGUGAUGAAGGCCUUAGGGUUGUAAAGCUCUUUCACCGGUGAAGAUAAUGACGGUAACCGGAGAAGAAGCCCCGGCUAGCUUCGUGCCAGCCGCCGCCGUAAUAC